rnacentral:rRNA from 1 species
GAUCAUGGCUCAGGAUGAACGCUAGCUACAGGCUUAACACAUGCAAGUCGAGGGCAGUAUGAUUCUAGCUUGCUAGAAUGAUGGCGACCGGCGCACGGGUGAGUAACGCGUAUCCAACCUUCCCUAUAGUAGAGGAUAGCCCGGCGAAAGUCGGAUUAAUACUCUAUGUUUUCCAGUGCAGACAUCUAAAAUGGAACAAAGGUUCACCGCUAUAGGAUGGGGGAUGCGUCUGAUUAGAUAGUAGGCGGGGUAACGGCCCACCUAGUCGACGAUCAGUAGGGGUUCUGAGAGGAAGGUCCCCCACAUUGGAACUGAGACACGGUCCAAACUCCUACGGGAGGCAGCAGUGAGGAAUAUUGGUCAAUGGGCGAGAGCCUGAACCAGCCAAGUAGCCGUGCAGGAUGACGGCCCUAUGGGUUGUAAACUGCUUUUAUAUAGGGAUAAAGUGACCCACGUGUGGGUUUUUGUAGGUACUAUAUGAAUAAGGACCGGCUAAUUCCGUGCCAGCAGCCGC